ensembl:lncRNA
CAUCACUGUCCUCCACUGCUCUCUCUGUGUUGUCAUUUCUUAAAUCGAUCUGUGGGUUCUUACUGGUGUUACUGGUUCUAUUAGGGAGACGAUGUGUUCAGAGGAAAACUGAAGCUGAUGGAGAAGUUAGAGAUGACAUCACGUACAGUCACAGAAAAUCUCAAGUCAUCAACAACAGCCAAUCAGAGAAAGUGAUCCAGCUGUUGUCCACUCAGCCCUGAGAACUGAAGACAUCUUUUAUGGACAAACAGCUGCCUGAACAAACAGAGCCAGACGUCUCCUCUUCACUGAAGUAGUCCACCAGUCCAACCAAUGACCAGCUGCUGGUCUCUAACUGGUCCACACAGCACAUCAAACCUGAGGAAUUUGACUUGUAAUAUUUGUUUGUUAUAUUGUGUUGUGUCUUCUCAUUAUAAUAUACACUCUCUGUGGUUGUAUAAGUCUGUCUGUAUAUAGUUUAACUAAAAGUAAUUGAAAAUAUAAAUGUAAUGCAUUAUUUUAAAUGUCCUCAGUAACUUUGCUGUUUGUUACAUUUCAUUUCUAAGCGUGGCACCAUGCUGUCACUUCUACAGCAGUGACCUGGUUUCUCUGCAGCAUCAAUAAACUUUGUUGUCACAUUUUGUUUCUGUAAUGUGGUUCUGUGGGUUUCAGAAAGAGCACUGAUGAAAAAUGUGAAUUGUUUCUAACCGAUACACACCUCUAUUCAGAGGAGAUAACAAAGAACAGGCAAACAGCU